CGCGUGGAGUGCAGCCGCGCGGCGCCGUCGGGCGGCUGGCUGGUGAGGUUGAAGUCGGCGAUCUUGGACUCGUAGCCGUCGAAGAGGAGGACGUUGCUGGAGCGCACGUCCCGGUGCACGAUGGACGGCUGCACCUUCUCGUGCAGGUUACAGUUGCAGCACCGGCUGGUGAUACGAUGGUGAUGAACGCAGGGCAGGAUAAGGAUACUGUACCGUGCAGGGUGUCGUGCAGGGAGCCGUUUGAGGCGAACUGGUAGACGAGGAUCCUGUGGCUGUCGUCCAGGUAGUAGCCCAUCAGCUGAAGGAAGUACUCGUUCUUGAGCCUCGAGACCAUCGACAGCUGCGCCCCCAGAAAACCACACCGAUUUAUCAGACUUUUUUUUUUGUUCAGUAAAGAACUAGUCGCGCUGACCUGACUCUGACUGACCUGAGAGGAGAAGUCUGCGAGGGAAUCGCUGGACACGCUGGGGUCGAGCUUCUUGAUGGCGACGGGCUCCCCGGAGGCGAGCACGGCCUUGUAGAUCUUGCCGUAGGAGCCUUCCCCGAUGAGGGCCUUCUGGCCGAAAUUCCCGGUGAUGCUGUUCAGCUCGCCCAUGGGGAUGGCCGGCACGUCGACGGGGAGGACCUUCGGCGGGCCGCCGCUCCUCGGCGCAUUGGGCCCUCUUGGCUUGCCGGGGGCUGGCAUUGCGGCAAGCUACCACAUGAGUUUUUUUUUUGAAAGGAAUACCACAUGAGUUUUUCAGGCACCAAGUGCUCGGGGAAUUCUGGUCUCGGAACUAGCUAGCUUCGUCGCAUCGCAUGACGGGUACAAGGAUCUGCGCAAGUUUUACUGGUUUUCUCUGAGGCCGUGCUACUACUCAGAGGCUGAAACUGAUAUCAGAUGAUGUCCGAGGCAACAAAAACUUAUCUACUGGAUCGUGCACCUGUACUGAACUCCUGAUUGCACGAUCAUAAUUCAGCCUGAAUAAUAAGUAGCAGGAGCAAUUUUUGCUA